CCCAUACCACCACCAUCUGCUUCUGAUGCUGUAGGCCAACAUAGUAAAAUUGGAGGCAUUACUUUUGGAGUAGCCCUCAUAGAUUCAACAGUUUUAUGUUUCUGGGCUUUAACACCAUGAAGUGGGAAACUCUUGGACAGUGAACUGCUAGCACAUUCAGCACAAGAAAUCUGCUCUUAGCAAUCAAAGUGAGUCAUAAGCUUAGAAGCAGCUACGGAACAGAGAGAUCAGAGAAGAGAGAAGACACAUACAAGGCUUCAGGAACACGUGGGUCAUUUCUCCCCCCUUCCUACUAGCAGGAGAGACAGUUUAGCCUGCUUUUCCUGGUUCACAUCCUGGGGUGAAUCACCGCAGACAAACAGUUCCAGCAGAGACAUGGCUCAGAGGCUGUACAGGAGAAGAUAUGUCUGUCGCUCUGGGCAGGGUGCUGUGCAGAGGAAGGGAGAGAGGAGGAGAGUGAUUUAUGCGGGUCCAUUUAUGAGGGUGUCUGGUUUUGAGAUACUGAAUGGGAUUUUUCUUUGAAAAACAAACAAACGCUAUUUAUUUUUCUCCUAAUUGUCUGGAAAAACUCACUCCUCCAGCCAGUCACUCUCAUCUUCACUCAUUCUUUUUACUCUCACUCAUACUAAGCUGCUUUAGAAGUAUUUUUGGAGAUCGUUAGGCUUGGAACACUGUGUUCCUAGUUGCCGUUUUCAAAUUUUCUUACAUGACAUUCCUUUCCAGAGUGCUGGUGUUUAGACCAGCCAGAAAUAUGGAUAUUACAGAGCACAAUUAUGGCCUUGUGUAUCUUCCUCAAUAACUAUUUUAAAGGUUGCAGUAUACCUGCAGAGGGAUUUUAGGCAUAUAUUAAAUGCUGUAAUAGAUUUAAAGUCAGCCUCUUGUGACAUUAUGUGCAACACUUCUUCCCUACGAAGAUGGGAAGGGAGAAGGUAAGUUAGUGCUGAAUGGGAUCAUUUGUUUGAAGGUACCUCGUUUUGGCUAUCUGUAAAGGGGUAUGGUAGCCCUGCUGUGUGUCUAUGUCUGUGUGUAUGUGUAAAAGAAAAAGAGGGAGCAGGAGAGAAUAUUCUUGAGGUAAUAUGUAGAGGUAUUUCCAUCCAUGAAGUCAUGAAUUUCUGAAAUUAACCUCUUGGAAGUUCAGGCUUUCUGCAAACACAAGAGAGAGAGGCUUUUUGCAUGGGAAAACUACUUCAGUUCCUCAACUGUAGGGAUUCAUGUUAAUUUCUUUCUCACUUUAAUUCCAGAUAUUUUAUUUGCAAAUUGCUUUCUUUUAGUUACCAUUCUAGGAAUCUAUUGACCUGCCCAAGACUGUUUCAUGUCCUGUGACAUCAGAACUGGAGCCAGUUUCAUCUUUGCAUAGUUACUACAUGAGAAAACUUUUAAGGUAGCUUUUUAGAGCACUGCUGCAACUGUAGUUUGGAUUCCUGCCACGUGCACCAAGAGAACAUAGUAGCACGUCUUCAGAAGUUUCCUGAAGUUUGUGUUCUGGCAAGAAUUUUGAUUUGCUGCUGCCCUGGAUGCUGCUGGAAAUGAUCUUUGUCACUAUUACUAAUGGUGGCACAAACAGGGAGAAGUCUGGGAUCCACAUCACUACUUUGUCAAGUAAAGCACUCUUAUUGUUUCUCUUUUCUCUGUUGCUAAUUACUAUUACAUAGCAUUUAUCCUAUCUGUGAGAAAUGUUUGAUUUUUCAUGAAAUGUAGUGGAGCAUUUAGACACUAAGUUGUGUUUAAGUGCAUUAUUAUAUUUUAUUUGCAUAAAAUAUGGGGAAGUGUGUCUAUGCAGCCAUGCACACAAGUGAACACAGAUAAAAUCCCAUGGUUCUUUCUUUUUUGAAAUGAAUUUAAAUGUGUUAAAAAUGAAGAUAUGCAUUAGACUGAUUUACUUUUAUUUUUAUUCCAUUUAAAAUGAGUAUCAAAAGCAACUGUCCUACAGUUGAAAUAAAUUCAGGCUGUACUCUUCUUAUGAUCCUACU
rnacentral:lncRNA from 1 species